rnacentral:rRNA from 1 species
GCUGGCGGUGCGCCUUAUGCAUGCAAGUCGAGCGAAGCUUUUCAGUAGUUUACUACAGAAAAUGACUGAGCGGCGAACGGGUGAGUAACGCGUGAGCAAUCUACCUUAGUUACAGGGAUAGCCCGAGGAAACUCGGAUUAAUACCUGAUAUUCUUUAUUUCUCGCAUGAGAAUAAAAGGAAAGGUCAGCCGAACUAAGAUGAGCUCGCGUUCUAUCAGCUAGUUGGUGAGGUAAAAGCUUACCAAGGCUACGACGGAUAGCUGGUCUGAGAGGACGAUCAGCCACACUGGGACUGAGACACGGCCCAGACUCCUACGGGAGGCUGCAGCAGGGAAUAUUGUGCAAUGAACGAAAGUUUGACACAGCGACACCGCGUGUGGGAUGACGGAUCUAGGUUUGUAAACCACUUUCAGGAGGGAAGAAAAUGACGGUACCUCCACAAGAAGCCCCGGCCAACUACGUGCCAGCAGCCGCGGUAAUACGUAGGGGGCGAGCGUUGUCCGGAUUUAUUGGGCGUAAAGAGCUCGUAGGCGG